GGGGGUGAACAGGACUCGACCGGGCAGGAGAAGUGAGAGUUGCGUGUCGUGGUUGGUCAGCAGGCCACGUAAAAAGCCGACUAUAAAUUCAAUUGCCGAACCUAAGUUCGCAAUGGCCGCCUAAGAACAGGUGACCCCGGAUUUGACUCUUCGCCGAAGAGAGGAAGAAUUCGGACGCCAAUUUCGGAUCGUUAGCCGUCACGUCGAAAACGCGGCUGAUUAAAUUAAGUCUUCGAAUCGCUCCAAAGAAACCGAAUCCGGAAAGGGGUCGGCGGAGUUAAAAAAGAAAAAACCGGAUACACACGUAGACGCUUCCAUGGAACCGUCGCGGGACGCGGGUUCAAUUCCCGCCACCUCCACUG
rnacentral:tmRNA from 1 species